AGAGUUUGAUCAUGGCUCAGAACGAACGCUGGCGGCGUGGAUAAGACAUGCAAGUCGAACGGGACCAGGUUUGUAGCAAUACAGGCUUGGUUCAGUGGCGCACGGGUGCGUAACACGUGAGUAAUCUGCCGGGAAGUGGGGGAUAGCUCGCCGAAAGGCGAAUUAAUACCGCAUGUGGCCAUUCCUUGAGUAAGGGAAAAGCCAAAGCAGCAAUGCGCUUCCUGAUGAGCUCGCGGCCUAUCAGCUAGAUGGCGGGGUAAAGGCCCACCAUGGCUAUGACGGGUAGCUGGUCUGAGAGGACGACCAGCCACACUGGAACUGAGAUACGGUCCAGACACCUACGGGUGGCAGCAGUCGAGAAUUUUUCACAAUGGGGGCAACCCUGAUGGAGCGACGCCGCGUGGAGGAUGAAGGCCUUCGGGUUGUAAACUCCUGUCAUGCGGGAACAAGCAAGUGAUAGUACCGCAAGAGGAAGAGACGGCUAACUCUGUGCCAGCAGCCGCGGUAAUACAGAGGUCUCAAGCGUUGUUCGGAUUCAUUGGGCGUAAAGGGUGCGUAGGUGGUGACGCAAGUCUGGUGUGAAAUCUCGGAGCUUAACUCCGAAAUUGCACCGGAUACUGCGUAACUCGAGGACUGUAGAGGAGAUCGGAAUUCACGGUGUAGCAGUGAAAUGCGUAGAUAUCGUGAGGAAGACCAGUUGCGAAGGCGGAUCUCUGGGCAGUUCCUGACACUGAGGCACGAAGGCCAGGGGAGCAAACGGGAUUAGAUACCCCAGUAGUCC
rnacentral:rRNA from 1 species